rnacentral:rRNA from 1 species
UACGGAGGGUGCAAACGUUGCUCGGAAUCAUUGGGCGUAAAGCGCACGUAGGCGGCCUGAUAAGUCGGGUGUGAAAGCCCUGGGCUCAACCCAGGAAGUGCACUCGAAACUGUCAGGCUUGAAUAUGGAAGAGGCUCGCGGAAUUCCCAGUGUAGAGGUGAAAUUCGUAGAUAUUGGGAAGAACACCGGUGGCGAAGGCGGCGAGCUGGUCCAUUACUGACGCUGAGGCGCGACAGCGUGGGGGAGCAAACAGG